rnacentral:rRNA from 1 species
UCUAGCGAUCCGAUGGGGUAUUGUUGCCUUGUCGAGGAGCUUCCCGGAAACGAAAGUCUUUCGGUUCCUGGGGUAGUAUGGUUGCAAAGCUGAAACUUAAAGAAAUUGACGGAAUGGCACCACCAGGAGUGGAGCCUGCGGCUUAAUUUGACUCAACACGGGAAAACUCACCCGGCCCGGACACCGUAAGGAUUGACAGAUUGAAAGCUCUUUCUCGAUUUGGUGGUUGGUGGUGCAUGGCCGUUCUUAGUUGGUGGAGCGAUUUGUCUGGUUUAUUCCGAUAACGAGCGAGACUCUAGCCUGCUAAAUAGUGACUAGAUUUUUAUGUCUAGUCUACUUCUUAGAGGGAUAAGCGGUGUUUAGCCGCACGAGAUUGAGCGAUAACAGGUCUGUGAUGCCCUUAGAUGUCCGGGGCUGCACGCGCGCUACAAUGGAAGAAUCAGCUGGCCUAUCCAUUGCCGAAAGGUAUUGGUAAACCGUUGAAACUCUUCCGUGACCGGGAUAGGGAAUUGUAACUAUUUCCCUUGAACGAGGAAUUCCUAGUAAGUGUGAGUCAUCAGCUCACGCUG